rnacentral:rRNA from 1 species
GACGAACGCUGGCGGCGUGCCUAAUACAUGCAAGUAGAACGCUGAAGGCGGAGCUUGCUCUUCUGGAUGAGUUGCGAACGGGUGAGUAACGCGUAGGUAACCUGCCUGGUAGCGGGGGAUAACUAUUGGAAACGAUAGCUAAUACCGCAUAACAGUAGAUGUUGCAUGACAUUUACUUAAAAGGUGCAAUUGCAUCACUACCAGAUGGACCUGCGUUGUAUUAGCUAGUUGGUGGGGUAACGGCUCACCAAGGCGACGAUACAUAGCCGACCUGAGAGGGUGAGCGGCCACACUGGGACGGAGACACGGCCCAGACUCCUACGGGAGGCAGCAGUAGGGAAUCUUCGGCAAUGGACGGAAGUCUGACCGAGCAACGCCGCGGGAGUGAAGAAGGUUUUCGGAUCGUAAAGCUCUGUUGUAAGAGAAGAACGAGUGUGAGAGUGGAAAGUUCACACUGUGACGGUAUCUUACCAGAAAGGUACGGCUAACUACGUG